AUUUACGUUAGUCGUUAGGAUCACAAAAUUUGAACUUUACACUCACAAAUACGCAUACCGUCAAAUCCAGUCGCACCCGCACCCAAAAAACGCGUGAAUUACACAUUCCCGCAUAGAAAUGGCAUCAAAGUUCAAACAGCUACAGAUGGAUUAUAUACCUUCCUUGCUAGCAGUUUCCGCAAACUGUUAACUUACCCUCUGUGACACAGAGAGAGAGACAGCGAAGGGAGAAGAGGAGAGACAAUAUAAUAUUUUCUCUCUCAGAGAUCUCUAAUAUAUAAAGCUUCUGAUAAUAACCCUUUCUCUUUUGUUACCUCUCUCUCUUUCUCAGAGAGGAAAAGGAAAGAUCGCGUUUUCUUGGAAUGAAAUCACCAAGAACGAGAAACAAGUAAGCCGUGUUGAUCUUUCCCCUUGUUCUAAAUCUUUGUAUUUCCAUUUCAAUUACACAUUUUCUCAUUUCACCCUUUUAAUUGCUUUUCUUAUUCUUUCUCCUAACUCUUCGCUGUCCCUUUCACUUCCAAUGCCAAUCACUGCUGUAUAACAACCAUUAAUACUCCAUCUAUCAAUUUCGCCCAUCAAUCCUAACACUUCCUUCUUUAAUCCACAUUCAGUAAUCACAAUGGGUCUUUUCCGGCUACUCCCUGCCGUUUUCUUCCUUUUGGUUGCUGUUCUUUCUGCUUCCUUCUGCCUCGGGAUUCGUUCCAUACCGGGGAGAGCAGUGAAUGUCGGUGGUGGUCUUGAACUGGUUGGGCUCCGAUUCGCUGAGGCGCCGGACUACCGUAAUGGAAUAGAAUGCUCAGUGUCGGGCAAUAGACAAUUCGUAUCUUCUUGUGACCCUUCUUUGGUUCACGUAGCUAUGACUCUGGACUUGGAGUAUCUACGAGGUUCAAUCGCCGCUGUUCACUCCGUUCUUAAACACGCUGCCUGUCCAGAAAACGUCUUCUUCCAUUUUAUUGCGGCGGAGUUCGAUCCGGCGAGUCCGCGAGUUCUGGCCCAACUUGUUCGAUCCACUUUCCCUUCACUCAGUUUCAAGGUUUAUAUAUUCAGAGAAGACACCGUUAUCAAUCUAAUCUCUUCAUCAAUCCGUCAAGCCCUAGAAAACCCACUAAAUUACGCAAGAAACUAUCUCGGGGAUAUCCUAGAUCCCUGCGUUGACCGAGUCAUCUACCUCGACUCCGAUGUGGUUGUUGUGGACGACAUACACAAGCUCUGGAAUACAACCCUUGCUGGGUCAAGAAUCAUUGGCGCACCUGAAUAUUGCCACGCCAAUUUCACCAAGUAUUUCAGUGAUGGGUUUUGGUCUGACCCUGUUCUUUCUCGGGUUUUCUCAGCUAGGAAGCCUUGUUACUUCAAUACUGGGGUAAUGGUGAUGGAUUUGGUAAGGUGGAGAGAGGGGAAUUACAGGAGGAGAAUAGAGAACUGGAUGGAGAUACAAAGGAAGAGGAGGAUUUACGAGUUGGGUUCACUGCCACCGUUUUUAUUGGUGUUCGCCGGUGACAUAGAGGCUAUUGAUCACCGGUGGAACCAGCACGGGCUCGGCGGGGAUAAUGUGAGAGGGAGCUGCCGGUCAUUGCAUCCUGGUCCAGUUAGCUUGCUCCAUUGGAGUGGGAAAGGGAAGCCUUGGGUUAGACUAGAUGGCAAGAAGCCUUGCCCUCUUGAUCAUCUGUGGGAGCCUUAUGAUCUCUACAAAGGGAACGAGAAUGCUAGAGUGAAGGAUCAUUCUCUGGGGUUUUUGAGUUCUUCUCAAUCUACAAUAAUGGGUUACUCGAGUUAUUUAUGAUUCUUUUGAUUUUGUUUUUUCAAUUUUUAGUUUACAAAUUUGAAGAAAUUCUUUCCUAGAUGUGUACAUAUAAGGAAUGGGGAUUGGAUUGGCAACUGGGGAGGAGAUUGAUGGGUUUUUAAUUUUUAUUUAAUUUCGUGAUAAAUUCAUGUGGCUACAGGAUUUUAAUUCCUUAUUUUAGGGGUUCCAUUGCUUUGGAACAUUUUUGGUGGGAUAAUGGUUUCUUUGUAUGUAAUUGAAUCAUUGGAGGAGAUAAAGAGAAGAAUAAUACACAGUUUGUCCACUGUUCAAUUCAAUUUCCUUUUCUUCAAUUUAAUUUCUAUGUGUUGCAAUAUUAUUUGCUUAUUGUUGGGGAGUAAUGGUGAAAAGAUAAAUCAGAAGAUGCAGAAGCCAAAAGGAAAAAGCAAAGGAGAAAUGAGAAAGCUAUGAAUAACGUCCGUUUCAAGGGGCUUUGGACCUUUGCAGCCUGACUCUGUUUCUGCCACAAUUUUCAACUACUUUUAGGCCCCACACACAACGGGGUCUUUGCUUUAAC
rnacentral:misc_RNA from 1 species